AUAAGUAACAAACCACGGACUUAGUAACAGCUCACGAACUGGUAAACUCGCCUACUCAUCAAGAACAACUUCAUAACAUCUACAAACUAUACAAGAUGUCGAAGACUUUGGUAUUUAUUCUCGUCGGAAUGAUCGCUCUCAGCGUCAUCCAGAUGUCCAGCUGCGCCGAAACUAAUGAAAUUGCAGAAGUGUGUGCAGACACAGAAGGGGUAGAUUGUAGUGACGUAGCUGGAAAUUGCGACAACGAAAAGUAUGCUGACAAAAUUUGGGACUGCUUCAAGACAUGCGGAUAUUGCUCUUGAAGACGAUUAUUUCUUUGUUCAAGAUAGUGGCAUCUUCACACGACCAAACUAAUUUUUAAAGAAACACCAUCAACUGUUUAGUUUUUAAAGAAAUCACAAUGGCUGUACUGUGCGUUGCCGUGUAUCAGUUUAUUUAGGUUAUAUAAUUCAAACGCCAAGACUUUGUGAGCUGUGAACUUUAAUGUUGUGAUGAAUCCGACGGCUUACCAACUUUCCCUAUUAAAAUCGAGUUAUAAUGUAACCAGUAGGCUGAUGUGCUUCUUUGAUAAUCACGAGCUAUCCUUUACCAUUUAUAUUAUGCUUCCUUACGCUAGUAACACUAUUUUAAACUUAUCAAUUACAUCUGAUCUGUUCUCUAAAGUGUAUCGUAUAGAUUUUUUCAACCAAUAAAUUUUAGUUAUUAAAUUUUUUGUUAGCACUCUCACAGUUCAAAAAUUGUAAUAAAGGUCACACUAUAGAACAAGUAAAGCGAUUAUUAUUUUAUUAAACGUGUUAUUUUGCCAACGUUGAGAUUCAAAAUAAACUUCUUAAAAGUA